AAGUCGUAACAAGGUUUCCGUAGGUGAACCUGCGGAAGGAUCAUUACAAAUCCAAAACAAUUACCCGUUAUAAUGUUCUCGGCCUUGGCAAAAAUGAUUUGAUAUCACGUAUCAUUAUCAUCAUCGUUAUGAUGCGGAUGACGAACAUGGUUGGAAUGGAGAGAGCGAUGCGUCCAACGCAUCCUCUAACCCCCCAUCCUAUGUCCCAUCCUAAUACAACAAACAUCAUAACACCAAGGUUCGACUUAAUGACUUAUACUAUGGACAUCGGUAACCAUGUCGUUUACUCGACAAAACCAAAACAACUUUUAACAAUGGAUCUCUAGGCUCUU
rnacentral:misc_RNA from 1 species